CCCUUAGAUGUUCUGGGCCGCACGCGCGCUACACUGACGAAGUCAGCGAGCAUGUCCUACGCCGACAGGUGCGGGGAAUCUUGUCAAACUUCGUCGUGAUGGGGAUUGAUUUUUGAAAUUCUUGAUCAUAAACGAGGAAUUCCUAGUAAGCGCAAGUCAGCAGCUUGCGUUGAUUACGUCCCUGCCCUUUGUACACACCGCCCGUCGCUACUACCGAUUGAAUGGUUUAGUGAGAUCUUCGGAUUGGCGCCACUGCAGCUCAACAAUGGGCUUGGUGGAUGCCGAAAAGUUGAUCAAACUUGAUCAUUUAGAGGAAGUAAAAGUCGUAACA
rnacentral:rRNA from 1 species